UACGUAGGUGGCUAGCGUUGUCCGGAUUUACUGGGCGUAAAGAGCGCGCAGGCGGUCGUUCAAGUCGAGUGUGAAAGCCCCCGGCUCAACUGGGGAGGGUCACUCGAUACUGAUCGACUCGAAGGCAGGAGAGGGAAGCGGAAUUCCCGGUGUAGUGGUGGAAUGCGUAGAUAUCGGGAGGAACACCAGUGGCGAAGGCGGUUGCCUGGGGCUUUGCUGACGCUGAGACGCGAAAGCGUGGGGAGCAAACAGG
rnacentral:rRNA from 1 species